rnacentral:tRNA from 1 species
GGGGUUGUGGCUCAGUGGUGAAGUGCUUGCCUAGCAUGCAUGAGGCACUGGGUUCGAUCCCCAGCACCACA